rfam:Xenopus tropicalis strain Nigerian Chr06_contig_55, whole genome shotgun sequence.
CCAAAGGCUCUUUUCAGAGCCCCCACUUGCUCAGUCUCAGAGCUGU